CAGCCGCCGCGGUAAUACGAGGGGGGCAAGCGUUGUUCGGAUUUAUUGGGCGUAAAGGGUGCGUAGGCGGUUUGGCAAGUCUUGUGUGAAAUCUAUGGGCUCAACCCAUAGCCUGCACGAGAAACUACCGGGCUUGAGUGAUGGAGAGGUGAGUGGAAUUUCCGGUGUAGCGGUGAAAUGCGUAGAUAUCGGAAGGAACACCUGUGGCGAAAGCGGCUCACUGGACAUUAACUGACGCUGAUGCACGAAAGCUAGGGGAGCAAACAGGAUUAGAUACCCGCGUAGUCCCUGUCUCUUAUAC
rnacentral:rRNA from 1 species